GAGGUUAUCACUAUCCUGGGAUGCAGGCUGGAAUGCAGAGUUUGGACAGAAGGACGAUUUUCUGACUCCCAACCGAGAAAUAGACCUACAGGUGGGGAGAAGAAACUUUAAAUUAAACCAAUGAGCAUUUUUUUUUUUUUUUAAUUAACAGUAAUGUUUUUACGAAGGCAAGUGGAAAUGCUUUUGUGCCUUUUUUUCCUUUACUUGAUAGUCUAAAAUAACGUUGUCUGGCUAAAAAUCUAAAUGUGUUUUCAUCAGUCGAGCAAAAGAUCUUCUUUACUUGGACAUUUGGGCUUCUGCUUGUGGAUUUCUUAAAGUAGGCUCUACUGCUGGCACCAUGCCUUAUCAUGAUGAGGAGUACCCCGGUCAGCCUCUGUGGCAGUCUGUGCUGCUUUUCUGCUGCAAGGGCAUGAUCGAGGGCAUCAUGGUCAUUCUGUUCUUCUGGCUUCUGGUUCAGGUCCUGUUCACCAAACAGUUAGAAGUUCAUCUCCAGAUUCUUCUUCUGGUCGGGCUGAUCACCUUUUGUCUGUGUUUGGUCCUGGGAUGCCUUCUGUGCUUGUGGAAAAGUAAAAUUUGUCGAGUGAAAGAGAAAGCUCCUGCGACAUCAGCACCGGCUCCUGCUGAACCUGUGUCCUUUGCUCAGACCACACCUCCUCCCUCAGCAGCAGGAACAGCAUCAGCAUCCAAGCAGCAGUUUGAGGAGCUGGAUGAAGAAGUGCUGGAGUACCCUUCCACUUUCAGCAGCGCUGCUACUUCAGAGGGCGAAUUUAGCUGUCUGGCAUUUUCAAAUCAAACUUCCAGUGAACAAAAGGAGCCUCCAAAGUCUUAUUUUUCCCUGCGCCGCCUCAGCACGCCUCUGCUCUCAUCACCCCUUUAUAAACCAUUAGACCAGAGUCAUAGCUCGCUGCCUUCCUUUCCCAAACUGGGACUACUGGCCAAAACAUGUAAGGCCCUGCAGCGACGCUGCACUGUGACCGGGGAACACAUAUCUUAUAAUGAGCACACUAGACUCACCAGACCCAGUGCUGACUCUCCUUCUACAAAAGAAAAACCUAUCCCAUUGGCCCCACUAAGCUAUGGCUCCAGUGCAAGCUGCCAACAUCCAAUAUCACCAAAACCCUGCCUCCACUUCACUAUGGCCUUCUCUCCAGAGCAGCAAACCCUGACAGUCACUGUCCUCAACUUCAGUGGCACGCCUCACAGGCUGGAAGAUGUGUCUGUGCAGGGCAGCCUGCCGCCUCUCUGCCCCUUUCCUAUGCAAGCUGCUGUGCAGAGCAGCUCCAGCUCUGAAGCCCACAGCCUGGUGCUAAUUUUCAAGGUGAGCUCUGUGGAGGAGCUCCAAAGGUGUGUACUGAAGGUAGCUGUGAAUGCACGAGAACCAGCGAGCCCCAGACGCAGUUCUCUGGGUGAACUGGAAGCCAAGUGUGCAGGAAGAGACUGGACACCACAGACGCCACUUCACUUAACAAAAGAACUCAAUCGAAGCAAGUAGAAAAUAAAAAGACUACCAGGUGGUGAUCAAUCUGCACCACGAGGGAGUUUUGAUGAGCAGCAGAGAGACUAAAGCAGGGUCCUGUACUGUGUGGAACACUUCUUUCCUGUUUGACCUGCCUCCAGGAGACAUCAGUCACCUGCCCCUCAUGCUUGAAUUCAUAAUAACCCAGAAUGCAGUCCUUUCAGAAGCCAGAGUUGUUGGCCGAGUCUUCGUUGGAGCAGAGGCUGCAGAUGCAGGACGUGCUCAUUGGAGAGACAUGUGCAGCCGGCAUGUGGAGCAGGCACGAUGGCGCACUAGUCAACCCGAAACUGCAAUAGAAUAAGGCUGUUUGACGAGCAAUGGAGCGGAUUUACUGUUGAGCUCUUUGGGCAACAAAAAUGGAAGUGCGUAUGGAUAGAGUCAACCUGUGAUCUCGUUCACCACAGGGUUCACUGCUGUCUACAUUCAAGAUGAUACACACCCUCCGAAUCUGGCAGCUUACUUGGACCUCAAAGAUUUCCAUCCAUGGCAUACCAGUGGAGCACACUGCUGCUGUUUCAGGUCCUACACCACCCGACUGUCAAAUGGAGACUUUAGGAGGUGUUAUUAACUCAUCAGUUCUGACAGAUGUUUGAAAGGAAUGAUGAGCUUGGGGCCAAACUCUGUGUCCUGGAGUUGUCUGACUGAAUUGUUGUUUAGGUAUAUGAAAUGCCUGUGUUCAGUAAAACUCUGAGAAAU